UGUAGUCAUAUGCUUGUCUCAAAGGUUAAGCCAUGCAUGUCUAAGUAUAAGCAAUUAUACAGUGAAACUGCGAAUGGCUCAUUAAAUCAGUUAUCGUUUAUUUGAUAGUACCUUACUACUUGGAUAUCCGUGGUAAUUCUAGAGCUAAUACAUGCUUAAAAUCCCGACCUCUGGAAGGGAUGUAUUUAUUAGAUAAAAAAUCAAUGUCUUCGGACUCUUUGAUGAUUCAUAAUAACUUUUCGAAUCGCAUGGCCUUGUGCUGGCGAUGGUUCAUUCAAAUUUCUGCCCUAUCAACUUUCGAUGGUAGGAUAGUGGCCUACCAUGGUUUCAACGGGUAACGGGGAAUAAGGGUUCGAUUCCGGAGAGGGAGCCUGAGAAACGGCUACCACAUCCNAGGAAGGCAGCAGGCGCGCAAAUUACCCAAUCCCGACACGGGGAGGUAGUGACAAUAAAUAACGAUACAGGGCCCUUAUGGGUCUUGUAAUUGGAAUGAGUACNAU
rnacentral:rRNA from 1 species